rnacentral:rRNA from 1 species
CAGUAGCCACGUAAUACAGAGGGUGCGAGCGUUAAUCGGAUUUACUGGGCGUAAAGCGUGCGUAGGCGGCUUUUUAAGUCGGAUGUGAAAUCCCUGAGCUUAACUUAGGAAUUGCAUUCGAUACUGGGAAGCUAGAGUAUGGGAGAGGAUGGUAGAAUUCCAGGUGUAGCGGUGAAAUGCGUAGAGAUCUGGAGGAAUACCGAUGGCGAAGGCAGCCAUCUGGCCUAAUACUGACGCUGAGGUACGAAAGCAUGGGGAGCAAACAGGAUUAGAUACCCGCGUAGUCCCUGUCUCUUAUACA